rnacentral:lncRNA from 1 species
UUUUCGGUGGUGGUGGUGAGCGGGCUUUUCGUCGGCCUCCCCCCCCCUCCAACGGCACCGCCUGAUCCACGCCGCCCUCAGCGCCGAACUGGCCGGCCCCCUGCACGCCCUCGCCAUCGUCGCCAAGACCCCCCAGCAGUGGGAACAAGACCCCCACGUCCCCCCCCGGCCCCCCUGCCUGGGGGGGUCCAAGCACGAGCGGCGCGGGGCCGGCGACGCCGCUUCGGCGUGAUGCUGAGCCCCUAAAUGGGGGUUUUGGGGGGGUUUUGGUCGUUUUAGGGUUUUUUUGGGGGUCGUUUUUAGGGUAUGGAGGAUCUGGGGGCGCAGCUUUUGGGGUGACCCCCCCCACACACCCAGCCCGCGCUGCGCCUUCCCAUUGAUCCCCUCCUAAAUUUUGGGGGGCGAUUUGGGGGAUUUUCAAUCCACUCCCAAAUUUUUUUGGGGGGCGAUUUGGAGGAUUUUCAAUCCCCUCCCAAAUUUUUGGGGGAUUUUCAAUCCCCUCCCAGAUUUUUGGGGGGCGAUUUGGAGGAUUUUCAAUCCUCUCCCAAAUUUUUAGGGGUGAUUUGGGGGAUUUUCAAUCCAAUCCCAAAUUUUUGGAGGAUUUUCAAUCCCCUCCCAAAUUUUGGGGGGCGAUUUGGGGGAUUUUCUCCACGCCACCUUCAAGGCGUCCACCUCUUGCCCCCCCCCCCAUGUAAAUCUUCCCCCCCCCCAACCCUCAUCACGCCCCCCCGCAUCCCAAACCCCGACCCCAAAAAUAAACAGCUCCUGGUCCUGAUCCGAAGCGGCUCCGCUGGGUGUUAUUGGGGUAACACGGCGUAAGGGGGGGGGGGGGAUUUCAUUAUUUUUUUUGUCGUUUCCGUGGUUUUCAUCAUUUUUGUUGUUUUUUUUCUUUAAUUCUUUACAAACAUCUAAAAACUACAGCACGGCACGAACUGCAUACGGACAGAACUAGGGGUGUGCUCCGAGAAAAAGACCAGCUACAGCGAAAUGGGGGGGGGGCGCGAGGAAGAGGAGGAGGAGGAGGAGGAGGAAGA